rfam:Schistosoma margrebowiei strain Zambia genome assembly, scaffold: SMRZ_contig0007669
GCGACCGUGGUGUAGCGGUUAUCAUGGCUGCCUUCCAAGCAGUCGAUCCGGGUUCGACUCCCGGCGGUCGCA